rnacentral:tRNA from 3 species
UCCCCGGUUGCUCUGCUGGCAGGGGCCGCCUGACUUUGAAUCAGGAUUAGCGACGUUGGUUCGAUUCCAACCCGGGGAGCCC